ACAACAUUCGGACUGUCGGUCUACCGAGCAAUAUCACCCCACCAGCUCGGUGAAAGAUCUUCUCAUUGUCGU
rnacentral:pre_miRNA from 1 species